rnacentral:rRNA from 1 species
UGGGGAAUAUUGCACAAUGGAGGGAACUCUGAUGCAGCGACGCCGCGUGAGUGAUGAAGGAAUUCGUUUCGUAAAACUCUGUUCUAUGGGAAGAAAAGGACUGUACCAUAGGAGAAAGCUCCGGCUAAAUACGUGCCAGCAGCCGCGGUAAUACGUAUGGAGCGAGCGUUGUCCGGAUUUAUUGGGUUUAAAGGGUGCGUAGGUUGUUCGGUAAGUCAGCGGUGAAACCUGAGCGCUCAACGUUCAGCCUGCCGUUGAAACUGCCGGGCUUGAGUUCAGUGGCGGCAGGCGGAAUUCGUGGUGUAGCGGUGAAAUGCAUAGAUAUCACGAGGAACUCCGAUUGCGAAGGCAGCUUGCCAUACUGCGACUGACACUGAAGCACGAAGGCGUGGGUAUCAAACAGG